CAUGUGUACUGUUUGAUAGAGGCGCAAGACCAGAAAGCAUGCUUGAGUUUGUUUCAUUCCUGUAUUGAACACAGAUCAUCCCGUCUUCAAUUUGAUUGAUUAUUUACUUUAAAAAAUAAUGUUGUAUUACAAAAAGUAGUUUGAAAUGUUUUGGCGAAGUUUACAGGUAACUUUUGAGAUAGUUUGUUGUCACUUUGCGCAAGUUGGAACCAGUGUUUUUCUGGAUCAAACGAGCCAAAUAAAUUGACAUUUUGGAUAUAUAUGGGCGGAAUUAAUAGAACAAAAGGACCAUUUGUGAUGUUUAUGGGACAUAUUGGAGUGCCAACAGAAGAAGCUCGUCAAAGGAAAUCACGCACAGAACGAGCAGUAUGGCUGGUGGCAUUGUCAUGCUGAGGGGUCAUGUCAGGAUGAGCCUGCAGGAAGGGUACCACAUGAGGGAGGAGGAUGUCUUCACUGUAACGCACAGCAUUGAGAUUGCUGCAAUGACAACAAGCUCAGUCCGAUGAUGCUGUGACACAGCACCCCAGACCAUGACGGACCCUCCACCUCCAAAUCGAUCCCGUGCCAGAGUACAGGCCUCGGUGUAACGCUCAUUCCUUCGACGAUAAACGCCAAUCCGACCAUCACCCCUGAUUCCGUCUCUCACAGUUGAAGUGUACCUAUGAUAAAAAUUCCAGACCUCUACAUGCUUUGACCUUGACUGCAUCAACCAGGGAGGCAGAGAUGCACAGGAUCACGCUCUUUACCCACCUGGCCAAUUAGAAGAAGGAGAGAGAAGAGAGAGAAAUGUACAAGAUGGAGUCUGCCUUCAGGACCAGGACCUGAGCCCUAGGACCAUGCCCCAGGAUUACCUGACAUGAUGACUCCUUGCUGUCUUCAGUCCACCUGGCCGUGCUGCUGCUCCAGUUUCAACUGUUCUGCCUUCUUAUUAUUCGAACAUGCUGAUCAUUUAUGAACAUUUGAACAUCUUGG
ensembl:lncRNA